rnacentral:rRNA from 1 species
AGUGAACGCUGGCGGUAGGCCUAACACAUGCAAGUCGAACGGCAGCACAGUAAGAGCUUGCUCUUACGGGUGGCGAGUGGCGGACGGGUGAGGAAUACAUCGGAAUCUACUUUUUCGUGGGGGAUAACGUGGGGAAACUUACGCUAAUACCGCAUACGACCUACGGGUGAAAGCAGGGGAUCUUCGGACCUUGCGCGAUUGAAUGAGCCGAUGUCGGAUUAGCUAGUUGGCGGGGUAAAGGCCCACCAAGGCGACGAUCCGUAGCUGGUCUGAGAGGAUGAUCAGCCACACUGGAACUGAGACACGGUCCAGACUCCUACGGGAGGCAGCAGUGGGGAAUAUUAGACAAUAGGCGCAAGCCUGAUCCAGCCAUACCGAGUGGGUGAAGGAGGCCUUCGGGUUGUAAAGCCCUUUUGUUGGGAAAGAAAAGCAGCAGGUUAAUACGCCGCUGUUCUGACGGUACCCAAAGAAUAAGCACCGGCUAACUUCGUG